GGAUCGAAGCGAUGACUUCAUACAUUCCUUGGAAGCUGAACAAAUGAGUGAAAAACUCUACACCGCUAUCCUCGCCGAACUGAGGUCC